AACGAACGCUGGCGGCAUGCCUAACACAUGCGAGUCGAACGAGACCUUCGGUUCUAGUGGCGCACGGGUGCGUAACGCGUGGGAACCUGCCCUUAGGUUCGGAAUAACUCCCCGAAAGGGGUGCUAAUACCGGAUAAUGUCUUCGGACCAAAGAUUUAUCGCCUUUGGAUGGGCCCGCGUUGGAUUAGCUAGUUGGUAGGGUAAAAGCCUACCAAGGCGACGAUCCAUAGCUGGUCUGAGAGGAUGAUCAGCCACACUGGGACUGAGACACGGCCCAGACUCCUACGGGAGGCAGCAGUGGGGAAUAUUGGACAAUGGGCGAAAGCCUGAUCCAGCAAUGCCGCGUGAGUGAUGAAGGCCUUAGGGUUGUAAAGCUCUUUUACCCGGGAUGAUAAUGACAGUACCGGGAGAAUAAGCUCCGGCUAACUCCGUG
rnacentral:rRNA from 1 species